CCCUUAGAUGUUCUGGGCCGCACGCGCGCUACACUGACGAAUGCAACGAGCUUAUAACCUUGGCCGAAAGGUCUGGGUAAUCUCCAAAUUUCGUCGUGAUGGGGAUGGAUUAUUGCAAUUAUUAAUCUUCAACGAGGAAUGCCUAGUAAGCGCAAGUCAUCAGCUUGCGUUGAUUACGUCCCUGCCCUUUGUACACACCGCCCGUCGCUCCUACCGAUUGAAUGGUCCGGUGAAGCGUUCGGACCGUGGCCUUUGGACGGUUCGCCGUCUGUUGGCUGCGGGAAGUUCGUUAAACCUUAUCAUUUAGAGGAAGGAGAANUCGUAACA
rnacentral:rRNA from 1 species